AUUGAACGCUGGCGGCAUGCUUUACACAUGCAAGUCGAACGGCAGCACGGGCUUCGGCCUGGUGGCGAGUGGCGAACGGGUGAGUAAUAUAUCGGAACGUACCCAGAAGUGGGGGAUAACGUAGCGAAAGUUACGCUAAUACCGCAUACGAUCUAUGGAUGAAAGCAGGGGACCGCAAGGCCUUGUGCUCCUGGAGCGGCCGAUAUCUGAUUAGCUAGUUGGUGAGGUAAAGGCUCACCAAGGCGACGAUCAGUAGCUGGUCUGAGAGGACGACCAGCCACACUGGAACUGAGACACGGUCCAGACUCCUACGGGAGGCAGCAGUGGGGAAUGUUGGACAAUGGGCGCAAGCCUGAUCCAGCAAUGCCGCGUGAGUGAAGAAGGCCUUCGGGUUGUAAAGCUCUUUUGUCAGGGAAGAAACGGUAGAGGCUAAUAUCCUUUGCUAAUGACGGUACCUGAAGAAUAAGCACCGGCUAACUACGUG
rnacentral:rRNA from 1 species